rnacentral:rRNA from 1 species
UUAAGUGACUAAGCGUACACGGUGGAUGCCUAGGCAGUCAGAGGCGAUGAAGGGCGUGCUAAUCUGCGAAAAGCGUCGGUAAGGUGAUAUGAACCGUUAUAACCGGCGAUACCCGAAUGGGGAAACCCAGUGUGUUUCGACACACUAUCAUGUCAUGAAUACAUAGUGGCAUGAGGCGAACCGGGGGAACUGAAACAUCUAAGUACCCCGAGGAAAAGAAAUCAACCGAGAUUCCCCCAGUAGCGGCGAGCGAACGGGGAGGAGCCCAGAACCUGAAUCGGCUUGUGUGUUAGUGGAAGCGUCUGGAAAGUCGCGCAGUAAAGGGUGAUAGCCCCGUACACUAAAAUGCACAGGUCGUGAGUUCGAUGAGUAGGGCGGGACACGUGACAUCCUGUCUGAAUAUGGGGGGACCAUCCUCCAAGGCUAAAUACUCCUGACUGACCGAUAGUGAACCAGUACCGUGAGGGAAAGGCGAAAAGAACCCCGGCGAGGGGAGUGAAAUAGAACCUGAAACCGUGUACGUACAAGCAGUGGGAGCACCUUCGUGGUGUGACUGCGUACCUUUUGUAUAAUGGGUCAGCGACUUAUAUUUUGUAGCAAGGUUAACCGUAUAGGGGAGCCGUAGGGAAACCGAGUCUUAACUGGGCGAAUAGUUGCAAGGUAUAGACCCGAAACCCGGUGAUCUAGCCAUGGGCAGGUUGAAGGUUGGGUAACACUAACUGGAGGACCGAACCGACUAAUGUUGAAAAAUUAGCGGAUGACUUGUGGCUGGGGGUGAAAGGCCAAUCAAACCGGGAGAUAGCUGGUUCUCCCCGAAAGCUAUUUAGGUAGCGCCUCGUGAACUCAUCUUCGGGGGUAGAGCACUGUUUCGGCUAGGGGGCCAUCCCGGCUUACCAAACCGAUGCAAACUCCGAAUACCGAAGAAUGUUAUCACGGGAGACACACGGCGGGUGCUAACGUCCGUCGUGAAGAGGGAAACAACCCAGACCGCCAGCUAAGGUCCCAAAGUCAUGGUUAAGUGGGAAACGAUGUGGGAAGGCAUAGACAGCCAGGAUGUUGGCUUAGAAGCAGCCAUCAUUUAAAGAAAGCGUAAUAGCUCACUGGUCGAGUCGGCCUGCGCGGAAGAUGUAACGGGGCUAAACCAUGCACCGAAGCUGCGGCAGCGACGUUUAGGCGUUGUUGGGUAGGGGAGCGUUCUGUAAGCCGUUGAAGGUGGCCUGUGAGGGUUGCUGGAGGUAUCAGAAGUGCGAAUGCUGACAUAAGUAACGAUAAAGCGGGUGAAAAGCCCGCUCGCCGGAAGACCAAGGGUUCCUGUCCAACGUUAAUCGGGGCAGGGUGAGUCGACCCCUAAGGCGAGGCUGAAAAGCGUAGUCGAUGGGAAACAGGUUAAUAUUCCUGUACUUGGUGUUACUGCGAAGGGGGGACGGAGAAGGCUAGGCUAGCCGGGCGACGGUUGUCCCGGUUUAAGCGUGUAGGGGGUGUGACCUGGUAAAUCCGGUUGCAUAUCAACCCUGAGGCGUGAUGACGAUGCACUACGGUGCAGAAGUAGUUGAUGCCCUGCUUCCAGGAAAAGCCUCUAAGCUCCAGGUAACAUUGAAUCGUACCCCAAACCGACACAGGUGGUCAGGUAGAGAAUACCAAGGCGCUUGAGAGAACUCGGGUGAAGGAACUAGGCAAAAUGGUGCCGUAACUUCGGGAGAAGGCACGCUGGCAUGUAGGUGAAGUCCCUUGCGGAUGGAGCUGAAGCCAGUCGAAGAUACCAGCUGGCUGCAACUGUUUAAUAAAAACACAGCACUGUGCAAACACGAAAGUGGACGUAUACGGUGUGACGCCUGCCCGGUGCUGGAAGGUUAAUUGAUGGGGUCAGCCGCAAGGCGAAGCUCUUGAUCGAAGCCCCAGUAAACGGCGGCCGUAACUAUAACGGUCCUAAGGUAGCGAAAUUCCUUGUCGGGUAAGUUCCGACCUGCACGAAUGGCGUAAUGAUGGCCAGGCUGUCUCCACCCGAGACUCAGUGAAAUUGAACUCGCUGUGAAGAUGCAGUGUACCCGCGGCAAGACGGAAAGACCCCGUGAACCUUUACUAUAGCUUGACACUGAACAUUGAGCCUUGAUGUGUAGGAUAGGUGGGAGGCUUUGAAGCGUGGACGCCAGUCUGCGUGGAGCCAUCCUUGAAAUACCACCCUUUAAUGUUUGAUGUUCUAACUCGGCCCCAUAAUCUGGGGUGAGGACAGUGUCUGGUGGGUAGUUUGACUGGGGCGGUCUCCUCCCAAAGAGUAACGGAGGAGCACGAAGGUUAGCUAAUCACGGUCGGACAUCGUGAGGUUAGUGCAAAGGCAUAAGCUAGCUUGACUGCGAGAGUGACGGCUCGAGCAGGUACGAAAGUAGGUCUUAGUGAUCCGGUGGUUCUGAAUGGAAGGGCCAUCGCUCAACGGAUAAAAGGUACUCCGGGGAUAACAGGCUGAUACCGCCCAAGAGUUCAUAUCGACGGCGGUGUUUGGCACCUCGAUGUCGGCUCAUCACAUCCUGGGGCUGAAGUAGGUCCCAAGGGUAUGGCUGUUCGCCAUUUAAAGUGGUACGCGAGCUGGGUUUAGAACGUCGUGAGACAGUUCGGUCCCUAUCUGCCGUGGGCGUUGGAAGAUUGAGAGGGGUUGCUCCUAGUACGAGAGGACCGGAGUGAACGCACCACUGGUGUUCGGGUUGUCAUGCCAAUGGCAUUGCCCGGUAGCUAAGUGCGGAAAAGAUAAGCGCUGAAAGCAUCUAAGCGCGAAACUUGCCUCAAGAUGAGUCUUCCCUGGGCCUUUAAGGUCCCUGAAGGAACGUUUAAGACUAAGACGUUGAUAGGCUGGGUGUGUAAGUGCAGCGAUGCAUUGAGCUAACCAGUACUAAUGAUCCGUGAGGCUUAACCUU